AGAGGCGUCUCAGUCCUAGGGCGACCCUGAAGGAGGGAAUCACUGCUGAAGGAUCACCGGUAAAGGGACAGUUUAACCAAAGAUACUAAUCAUGAACUGGAGCGACAGUUUCUGGAGUUCAUCUCACUGUCAUUGAGAUUGCCAUCUACAGCCACAUAACCUAUACUCUCUUCCUGUCCUCUCUUUGCAUCGGUUGGUGUGGAGGAGGAUACUGAAAAAUCCAAUUCCCAAAAUGACUCUAUAAAUUUAAAGCCACAGCAGCCAAAAGAGUGCUGCGUUACUUUGCUUUGUGCCGUAGGCCUUCGCUCACCCUUCUGCUUCUCCUGAUUGGACACUUGUAGAUUGGUUUUAUAAUGCUAGAGUCCCACCCUGGCAGCUGAUGCUGCUUUUUGUAUCAGCUUUUGGGUUCAGAGUAAGUCCUACAUCAUUUACAGUCAUGUCCCUGAGUUGUCUAGUUUUGUUUCCUAAUCUCAUAGCGUUCUUCCUUUUGCCUGUCCUUUCGGAGACAUGUUAUGGAUUACAUGUGUUCACCUUCCCUCAGUCCUCUGAUCUGGAUGUAAUGCUCGGCAUGGAUUUGAUAAACUCUCUCAACAAAUACAGUCUUUGACUCUG